rnacentral:rRNA from 1 species
GAUGAACGCUGGCGGCGUGCCUAAUACAUGCAAGUCGAGCGAACAGACGAGGAGCUUGCUCCUCUGACGUUAGCGGCGGACGGGUGAGUAACACGUGGAUAACCUACCUAUAAGACUGGGAUAACUUCGGGAAACCGGAGCUAAUACCGGAUAAUAUAUUGAACCGCAUGGUUCAAUAGUGAAAGACGGUUUUGCUGUCACUUAUAGAUGGAUCCGCGCCGCAUUAGCUAGUUGGUAAGGUAACGGCUUACCAAGGCAACGAUGCGUAGCCGACCUGAGAGGGUGGUCGGCCACACUGGAACUGAGACACGGUCCAGACUCCUACGGGAGGCAGCAGUAGGGAAUCUUCCGCAAUGGGCGAAAGCCUGACGGAGCAACGCCGCGUGAGUGAUGAAGGUCUUCGGAUCGUAAAACUCUGUUAUUAGGGAAGAACAAAUGUGUAAGUAACUAUGCAUGUCUUGACGGUACCUAAUCAGAAAGCCACGGCUAACUACGUG